rnacentral:rRNA from 1 species
AUGGACUACAAUUUGACCUUUGCAAUGGUUCAUGGGCAAGGAUAUGAUGGAGCUAGUAAUAUGAGAGGUAAUGCUAAUGGCUUGGAAAAACUUAUUAUGGAUGAGUCCCCUUCUGCCUACUAUGUUCAUUGUUUCGCCCAUCAAUUACAGUUAACUCUUGUUGCUGUUGCUAAGGAGAGUGGUGAUUGUACUUGGUUCUUUCAUCAGCUUGCACACUUGUUAAAUGCUCUUGGCAUGUCUUGUAAAAAGAUGAGAAUGCUUCGGAUAGCUCAGGCUGAAGAACUCAUUGAUGCACUGGAAUUGGAAGAAGUAGAA